rnacentral:lncRNA from 1 species
GACCCUAACUUUCUACUUUAGAACAAUCCGUUUAGUUAACCAACCAGAGGUGUGUUAUCGACCCGAACUAACUCUAUCUGACUUGCCCACCUCGACAGGGUGAAAUGCAUUGUUGCCCGCAGAGCAGCUUGUUGGACAAUUAGUUUAGUAACCGCUCUUUGCCUUUUUCUACUACUGUAGUUGUUUGUCGGUUAUAACUCUAUUAUUAACUGACUGUUUCUUGUCUUCUUUUCGGGUUGGCGAGAAGGAGCUAGAGGGUGAUGAGUUACCUAGAUAUACAUUACUUUGCUUUCCAAUUCCAUUCUCCAAUAAGCUAUCUGAUCGCUCGAAAGAGGGUAUUCGUUUUCCUCUCGGUCCUUGGCGCAGGGAUGAGCUAUAGUUAUUAAAGAAUCAAGUCAGAAUUAAGGCUUAAUUGGCACCUCGGGAAUAAUGACAAAGGUGACAAACACAGGUGCAAAAUUGUCGACGAGAAAAAGGCCAGUUCCUGUUCCAUCGGGAAAGCCUUUCACUCCCCACUUAUAUAUCUGCAUUUGCCCUGGGCACAGAAAGAGACUUUACUUGAACUUGACGAAACCCACUCAACUCUCCCUGACGCCAUGAACACGAGCAGUAAACAAUCUGGAGUGAAAUUACUGACUCUCAUAUAAUGUAUGUAUAGAAAAUUCCAUAAGCAAAAGAAACUCAAUAACUCCAUUCCAUAAGCGCAACUCAUUCAUUUGAAUUGAAAAAACACGGGUUUUGAUGAGUGACUGGGUUGGUUCGGAGCACAGGGACAGGCUAGGCUAUUCUGGGAGGACUGAUGAAAGGCUUUCACACCGGAUUGAGAGUUGCGCGCGGGAAACAAUAAGGCUUAUCAAGAGAAUAGAGUUGACUUAAGAAUCUAGUGGGGUGGUGGAAUGAAACCACAAGCACUGAAUACGAGUUUGAUGCGAGGUGUACUAAAGUAAAGAUCCCUUAUAUAAGCUUAUAUAAGAUGGAUAGAAAGGUGGAAGUAAGUAUUUGUAGUAGUUCCCUUAGUUAAUAGUUGUUAUAUCAGAGAAGAAGACCAGAGAAUAAGACUCAUUCUAAUAUCGGUAACUAUGGCAACUGGAUCUAACCCUCGGUGCUCUUCUCUUAACCAACCUUAGGGCUAUAUGACUUUCUAGUUUGAUACCUGAAUUCGAUCCUGAACACAUAACAAGUAAUAAAGAAAUAAGAACUCGUUAUUCCGGCUUAUUCCGAGUUAUUCCGGAGUCCUCAUUUCGCCUAAGUCAACUAAUUCAUAUUUUGGAUAGGCAAUAGGAACCCUACUUAUACUAGGCACCUGUGGAUCUGAAGUCAACAAUGAAUUCAUUUGAUCUUCAGUAAAAGUAGAAACUUGAUAAGGUACUGGCUUUGAUUGAAGCAGGAAUAAGAGAAGGAGAAAGAGCUGUUCGGUAUCCAGGGGUGCAAGAACAAAUAAGCUUAGGUAGGCGCCUAAAGUCACUACGUUUCUAGGUGCAUUCCCAUUUUCUAGAUAUAUGGUCAGUUCAUCAAUUUCUCUUUGAUUGAGUAGCCGCUAGUUCUAUCACUUACAGCCUCGGCGAAAUAAACUAGUCCUGUUGCUUGUGUUGUGUCUUAGUCUGCAAGCGAAGUUCUUGCUUUUGAAUCUGACUGGCUUCAAUCUAUCUCUCGAAUUAUCCACGCCUGUCAAGACAGUAGUUAUUCCGUAAACUAAGACUUAUGUGGGCCCCACCUCCCCAAGCAUUAAAGUGAAACAAAAGCACCCUAACUCCCUAAACAGAGACCAGAGAGUUGCAGACGUUGAUUCUUUCCCCUACCCUAACCUACCCUUACUUACUUCAAUGUCAAACAGGACAGGAAUUGAGAAAUCCAACUGGAAUCUUUCUUGUGCAUGUUCUACGCUGCUGACUGCUUACUUUAGUGUCCAAACACAACUGAGGAAGGAGACUCGUAUGAAGUACGCUGAAGAAGGACAUAAUAAACAAAGUAAAGGCAAUCUGGUAACAAACAGUCUCUAUUAGUAUCAUAGGUAUUCUAUGAAUUCUAGUUAACGCUAAAGCCAAGUAGGUCACGCAAAGAUAAAGGCUAACUAGCGCUAUAGGGCUUUUCUCACUAAGCUAAGGCAGGCGCAAGCAAAGUAUAAUCUAACUAAGCUAAGGCACAAAGUAUAAGUAAAAGCUCUAACUAAUAAGGCUUUCUCGAACUGCGAUACUUAUAUAGCCCAUUCCAUUCCUUUCGAGCCGAAACAUCAUUGAAUUCUACUAUGGAUUCUCUUUCUCUCUCGUCGACUUUAAGUCUUGGUCUUGUUACUGACUUUAGAACUGGAACUCCACUCUGGUAUCUCAACAGCGCAAGAAACAACCUUAUAUGAGUUAGCUUACUUCUUUGGGCACACGUUUGUUUAGCUCCAGUUGUCAUCGGCAUUAGCGAGUUACGUGCACCUCUUGCUUCCCUUUCCUCCAAAGCGUUAGUACUUAGGCUUUCGAUCUCCCACUUGAACUUGCUUCUUGUUCCAACAAACUCACAUAACUCCUUAUAACGCAAAAGAAGAGAAUGAGAGUUCACCCUAACGCAAAAGAAGAGAAUGAGAGUUCACCCUAACUACUUACAGGAAGGACGGAGCGUAGGCAUAUCAGAACUGUAAUCGUUGGCUUACGCUCAUAAUCUCUAGUAGUCUCGCUCGGCAUAUCAGAACUGUGAUCGUUGGCUUACGUUCAUAAUCUAUGUUCUCGUUCGCUGUUACGUGAAGAGACUAUAGUUGCCUUGGCAUAGUGGAACUGCUGGAUUACAUAAGUAGAGGAAAGAGCUGGAUCUGUGUUCUUAUAUCGGAUUCUAGUUAGUGUUGAGUAUAGGAAAGGUUGCUUUACCUUCUGAAGCAUGGUCGGUUUCGUUCUUGUGCUUGUUUGUUUGUUUACUUGCUCCUUACUCUCUUAUAUAUUAGACUUGCUCCUUACUCUCUUAUAUAUGAGUAUAUGUGGACUAUUUCAGUAAUACGCUUGACUUUGAAAGAUGCCUUGAUGGUGAAAUGGCAACCUCGGAAGCGAAUUCGCGUGUGGAUUGCUCGCCCUAUCAGGUAUAAGGCGGUAUCGAUCGAUUCCUUUCUUUUGGUUCAUUGGUUAGGUGUCGAUAGACGGAAAGGCAGGGCAGCGUAAGCUGCCUAAUUGAAAUAUAGAAUGGAGUUAUGAAUUUAAAGAACUGGAGAAAGGAAUGUAAGGCUCAUACUUAUAGGUGUAGGUUCAAAUGCGGAUUAGUUGUUAAGGGAGAUAAAUAGUAGGUUGAUUCGCUGGGUAGUAUUCAAGCCUAAAUAAAGGUAUUAGUGGGUUAAGCCUGUUAUUUACUUAUUGUAUGGAAUUAUUAUAAGCGCUAGCAAAACUCUUGUAGUGUUGUUAGCAGUUUCAGAAUCAAAGAAAGGAUAGUUAGGCUUGGAAGCAGGGCGAGCCCUUAAGCCCAUUCUUGUUCCUAUCUAUGAGACUUCCCUUCUAUCUUUCUUUUAAACAAAUACUCCGGACUACUAGGUUGAGUUCUGCUGUUUGUUGGCUUAGGUCUUCUACUUAUGAGUUAACUUCUUAGUUUCCUACUUGAGAGCACUAGCACUAGGGUUGUUUGGCAAGGAAAGAGAAAUAGAUAGCGUUGGACAAGGUGCUGAAAGCCUUACUACUGGGUGGAAUUCCGACUUCUUAGUUUCUCCAUUUAGGGCACAGUUUGACUCUGGCUUAUGAGGUGUCUUCCUAUAGUAGGUAGUUUGGUAGUUGGAGUUGAUUUCUUGUUAUCACCAGUUCGAUUCCGAUAGAAUGCCCUAAAAGUCAAUAUAUUAGAAAAGUGAGGGUGUUGCUGGGCAGUGCUAUAGCCUGUUUGGUACCGGCUAAAGUCCUGUUGGCACUGGUCUCAUUCUUGAAUUCGGUAUUCUUUUCACUUAUACGGAUGGGUCUUCUUUGAACUUAUAUAUUGAUAUGUGUGUUUUCAUAUGGUAUUUGCUAUUACUAUUAGACAACAACCACUAACUCGGGAUCGAACCACUGCUAUUAGAAAUCCACUAGUACUGAGUGGUUAACGACUAUACAACUAUGAGAAUUUCAUUACGAGCUAUCAGAUGAAACUAUAUGAUUAACUAUACUCAAUGGGCUACCCCGAUAGAUCCAACUUUGUAACCCAAGCCUAUUCUUUAGUUGCUUCCCGGGGCUUUGACUCCUCUGCUCCUGUCUUUGAGGCUACAUUGCCACUCGAACCACUAUUUAUUAGGGUGAACCCGGGCAUACGAGACUGACACUAAGGCCAGCAACGUCUUAACUCAAAAAAGGGAAUCCAAACACCAGUAACAGGGCUUGCACUAGAUACCCUACAUCAUAUCAAUACCGAUAAGAAAUAGAGUGGAAAGUGUUGUUACUUCAUUACUAUACUUAUAGUGUUGUUACUACAUUACUAUUAUGUCCUUAAUGCCUAUGCUCCUGCUAUGGACGAUAUAUAUAUAUAUAUGGAAUACGGGAAUAGAAUCUUACUAGUGGUAAACCAAGAACCGCACAGGUGCUUCUCGGGAUGAAACACGGAAUCCAAAGACUGUCGCGUAGGAGCAGUUUCUACUAGACGCCAAGACACUACUCAACAAGCAUGCCUACCUUGGUUUCAACCCAAUACUCGUGCUUAUCAUACUUUCACUCAAAAACGGGAAUUGACCUGUUACUGACAAAACAGACCUUCUCUGCGCCAUAAUUCGUAAACAAGCUAUUUACUACAAGACUCACCCUACUAGCUGGGAAACCAACGACUACUUCUUAGGAUCGAACUGGUGCUACUGCUUCCCGGGCUCCCAACAAAGAAAUACAGAAUAAGGCUUGGCCCCUAAUAACAUGCUAAUCUAUAUUAUAGAAGAGAACGGUGAAAUACAGAAUGACUACAAGGAAUAGCAGACUCGCCCAAAGAAGCACAAGGAUGCGAUAAGCAAAUAAAGAAUAAGUGCCUCCGGGGACUAAGAACGAGUUCCGAGCCAGGGUAUUACCUUUACCGGUUCGAUUCUUUUCCUUAAGGGGUUCAGCCUCGAAAGGCGCCAGGAGUGAAAGGGGGCAUGAGAAAAGAGAUGAUCUUUUAGAUGUAGAUGAAAUAGAUGUAGAUGAAACGGGAACGGCAUUAGCUUCUUUGCCCCGUGGACCAAGACUUGUAGUUGCUAAGUGAACUUGUCCGUUAGUAUACGCUUGGCGGUAUAGUUUCAAUAGGUAUGUAUAUCGUUUCUGCUUCAACUUAAGGCCCAGUUCAUUAUAGAUAAUAGAGAUUUCUAUACUAGAAACCCGACCCGACCUCAACUAGAACCACAUCCGCUUCAGAUCUUAUGAAAGCUUUUGAUCCUGCACAAAUGCUCAAGCCUCUGAUUAUUAAUAUUACCCUUAUAUAGUGGAUCUCGCAACAAUGAAUGAAAUUGAAACAACUGAUUCCCUCGCCUUUCCUCUAGCUUAAAAUCCCGUAAUGCAAGGAAUGGAGCGUUCAACAAGUGUUGUGACUUCAGAGCCUGUAAUAGGUGGAGCAGAGCCAGAGUUAUAGGAGCAAUAAGUAACCCAACUGAUCAACUAAACGAAAGAUUGAACUCCACUCAAACCAUAAAAGAAACCGUAUUUGAAAGCCGACUCAAAGAAAGAAAACACAGUAGUUUAGCUAGUACAAGAGAAUCAACUGAAAGACAAAGGAAGGAUCGAUUGCAAGGAAGGAAGGAAGACAGAAAGACAAGACAAGGGAAGGGAAGACUUAUUUACAAAGGAUCGAUAGCAAAGCAAGGAGGGAAGACAAACUAACUUACUGAGAACUAAACGACUUUUGGAAGAGGACCUUCUCCCGUCUAGGAGGACCCUCAAAGAGAAUCUGAUGAAGCUGGCCCGUCAUACUCCCUGGGUGACGAAGCAGCGAGAAGCUUAACCUCACAAUAGCAAACAACAGCAUAGCAUUGAAAACGAUAUUACUUACUUACAUACUUAGUCCCAAGCGCUCAUUUGAGGUUUUGCUAUGAGUUACAGCUGCUCAAUGUUGACUAUUUAAUGUGGAUGGAUUGCGGAUGUCCAGUAGUAAACUUCUUUUGGAAUAGAGAAUAUCUUUCGGAGCGCAUUGAUCUGUCCUUUCAUACUAAAUUGCUGGCCUUGACCUUUAGUAUUUCAAGAGUGAACAAAAGGCUUCUCUCCCUUAUAUGUAAGAAAGGCAUUCUUGGGGCCGAGUCAGACAAGUAAACGCCCUGAAAUUCCUACAGUAUUUGGGAGUUCGAAAGCAAAGAUAUUAGGCAAAAAACAAACAGAACAAACAAGCAGAGUAGAAAGGAAAAGAACCAUUGUAUAGAAAAAAGUGUAAGAUUACACGAUACUUCUAUACCUUGUGCAAGAAAGCGAAAGUGAGAAUUGAGCAUUUGCGAGCGGUGCAUGACAUUUCGGCAGCUGAACCCUAGACAAAUAGUCAUUAUUAGCGCCCUACCCAAACAAAAGAAGAAAAUGGGGAAAAUCAUAUAAGCAGCACAUAGAUAUAAUAUAUGAGUAAACAACACGGAAUUGCUUCCCUUUCUUUGGCUUGAAAACUCACUCUUAUUACUUAUGAGCUUGCUUCUUCAGCCGUUACGCAUUAGGCUUAAUUACUUGUGCGUUAGCGAGCUCUUUCGCACUUAAGCAAACUAACGGAAGCCCCUGCUUGUUCUUAACGACAACUAGUAUUUGUUAUCAAUGAAGCUAGUGCCACGGAUGGAGGUACAGGUACCUAACAAACUGCAUUUACACUAACUCGCUAACUUCUUGCCAGGUGCGUUCCAAAAGAGUAAUAUCACAGCUUCUCGAUUAGUGACAAAAGCGUUAGUUGCUUUUUGACUUGUUUGAAUGGAAUUGAACUAACUUCAUAUAGAAGUGUACAGUAAACUCACUUAUGGAAUGGAAUCUAUACCUCCCUUUACUCCUGACAAGAAGAACUCUGCUAGGCAGCUCGAAACACCAAUAGGUGCCUUAGUGUUCGGAACCGUUAUCUACCACUUGCUUGCUUACGCUCUUGCUUGUUUGUUCCGUUAUUUGUUUAUGAAUUCAUUUAGUGCACAUAUUUGAGUAGAUCAAUCCGAUCGCCGUUACACGUGGUGGAAGAGUCUGUUUUUGAAAGGAGCCAUGCGUGCUCAAAGACGUCAGUGGUAUUUCGAUGCGCCUAUAUGUCCUUAUCUGGUUGGUGAUAUUUCGGUGCAUAUGCCUAUGUCCUUAUGAUCGAGUUGUAUAUAGAGUUGUAUAUAGGGUUCCUUAUACUCCGAAACUAGAAUUGGAAGAAAGUAACCUAACUCUGAAACUCACAGCUUUGCUUCAAAAGGGCUUACUGCCCGGCGCACAAGGUAACCAUAAAUAGCUUGUUAACUUACCUCCCCCCUCCCCUUUCAUAGACUGACUCCUGACUCUCAACUUGACGAAGUUACUUGCCUUACAGCCGAACUCAACUCCUACCGCUAAAGUGAGUUCCUUUGACGCUCUAAAGCUAAUAAUAAGUGAAUUAGUGCUACAUAAGGAAGGGUUAAGGCGGAAGAAGGCCUAUUUCUCGUCGCCAACACAAUACAUCUUAUUAUACUAUUAUUACCUAGAUCUAUACUUCACUCUAUUCCACUAGACUCUAUUCCCUUUUCUUUGUAAGUGGAAUUCCAUCCAUUCUCAUUUCCUACUCCCCAACACAGGACUAUGUCUACUACUACUGAUUCCACUGGACUACUCUACUACUUUGAACCUUCCUACAAGUCCUUCCUCUUCCUGUGUUCAAGCUUAAGGCUGCUCCUGUUAUGAGCAAGUCAAGUUAUCCCGAUGGAAGGCUAAUCCUAAUUGACUCGUUUGGAGGAGAUGGCUAAUUACCUAUGGGUUAAAGGUUAACACUUAGGAUCAAAAGACGUCUUUGGCUCUUCCACUCUAAUCGCUUACUACUUUAUUGACUUGGCUCUUCCACUCUAAUCGCUUACUACUUUGUAUACCGCUUAUGAAACUAAACUCGAUUGAAAACAAGAAAAACUCUCCCUUACGUCCCUACUCUCCUUUUGUCUUUAUCCCUUGAUUUGAUGUAAAUAUUACCCUAAAACCUCUAACGCUUUCGCUCUUUACGGGUCAAGUAUGAUUUUCCUCCCCCUUUUCCAGACACACACAGAAGUGGAGUUCCGGCCCCCGAUACUUCAUAAUAAGAAAGGUAUACUUUACCGGAUGAAUAAUGAGCCAUGGGUAUGAUUGGGGAACAAAGGCUUUUUGCAUCACAGUUGUAACCGAAGUAGAUAAAGAAUACCUCCGCCAGAAGGGAAAGAAGGAAGAGUGAAACCUAACCUACCGUCUCUAUUGUCUACCCUCAGAACAUUGAAACUCACCCGAGGUAUUUAGAAUCUCUUUAGGUUCCUUUGCUACCCGGAUUCCUUUUGUAGAAACCAUUCCCCACAUCAUCUGCUUUUUGCAUCAGCUUUUCUUAUCUUCAAGCUUGACCGUGGUAUGGCAAAUGACAUCAUUCUCUUGUGCGCCUUCUUAUUCUUUGUAAGUGGAUAUGAAAAGAGGGCCUUUGCUAAUCUAUAGACAUGUGGACUAUGCUUUCGAUCCACACUUGCGAUUUAGGCUAGGCCUAUUCCCUUUGUCUCUAAGGUUUGCAGGAAGAAUGGCUAAUAGCCCACUUGUUUAGUGCUGGUAUCACGCUAUAUACGAUUGUCAUCUAAGUCAAAAGUAGAGUAAUCAAACUAGCGGCCCAGAAACAAACCAAGUACUAUGAAUCAAAUGUGGGUACGGGCAAGAGAGGAGACAUUAGACACUGACGAGCCUCGCCCAAGCUGUAAGUUCCGUGCAAACUCUUUGCUUUAAGUGCAGUUCCAACUCUUUGCUGUAAGUGCAGUUCACUCUUUCAGAUAGAUGGUAUUCCGGGGAUGAAGUCAGGCCUAUGCUUUAGAUGGCUCCCAGUAUAGUAUCAUAUGAAAAUAGAUCCAAAUCUCUCUAGAAAUAAAGAUCUCCAUCUCCAUAUAUAUCUAUCUCUAUAAAUCAAGAUCUCCAUAUAUCUAUCCAAUAUAUCUAUCAAUAUAUCUCUUUCUCAUUAUGGAUAUUGAUUAUCUUAUUUAUAUUUGAUAUUUCUUUAUCUGGAUAUAUGCAAGACCCAAGCAAGCAUAAACCUCGAGAGAACCUGAGACUACUCCUUACUUACGCGCAAGAAUAGAUUAUAGAAGAGAAGGAGGCUCUAUAAUAGAUGCGGAUAUCCAGUUGUGCUUGCUUCCUCCCCACUAACUUGCCGAGUCAUAGGCUCUGUGCAAGAGAGAGUGCUUUUACUUCUUCCUUUGCUUUCUUUUUGGAUUUCGCCUUAGCGCUUUCUUAGGUGGUCUUUCAUGAUUGGCUUAGUCAAUCCCGUUCACUUCCCUCUUGCUUUCCCUGUGCCGGUCGGGUCCCGGUCCAGCUCUUGCCCAACCCACCACUUCCAAUCUCUCAGGAAAGGUUUAGUCAUACUAUAUCCAUACAAUACUCUUCCUUUUCUUUUCUCGGUGGUUUACAUUCUCUUUCCUAAUAAUCAAUCAAUAUUAGAUGAUUAUGAUAUGGCAAAAUCUUGAUCUUUCUUGGAUAUGGGCACCUACCCGGACUUAGGCUCUCAUCAAUCUCAAUCCAGGAACUCUUGCAAAAGGACGGCUAAGCACAAGAACGCGCUUUACCUUCCUACAAUGAAGGCACGGGGAAAUAUACCUAAGACUAGACCGGGAAGCAGACUAAGAGCGGUCAUAUCGAAUAAGAACAAGUCGAGCUGAAGAACGAAAGCAAGAAAAGUGAAGUUAUUGCUACUAUGAUUUUAGGAUCCAAAAAGACAUGAGAGCUAGCUUCUGUGAUGAUGAGAACGAAUUCGAAUUCAGGCCUUAUAAAGAAAGAGGUUGGCGGAGGGAAUAUAGGAAGGCUUUCUUCUCGCUGCAUUUCAACGUUACAGGCGGGACCACUGAGAAUAGUCAGAACCCUUACCUCGCUCGGAUAGAUAAAGAAUAGUCAAUAUACAGCUCGGAUAGAUAAAUAAUAGUCAAUAUACAGCUCGGAUAGAUAAAUAAUAGUCCAAUUACAAUAGAAUGGAAUAAGGAUUCUUAUUAGAAUGGAAUAAGGAUUCUGAUUGUGUGAUAGAAAGGGCUUGGGCAAAGGCUUUGGCGUAGUCAGGUUCGCUUCACUUGCCGAAUGCCUUCUUUUAACUCCUAGACACCAUAUCAAGUUGACAUUGGGACAGCCCCACUAUCUAUACUUUCAAGAAAAUAAGGGAAUAGAGCUGACCACUGCUUUUUCUUUAGAUUCCACCCUCUGACUUAUGUUGUGGCCAGGUGGACUCGAGCUUAUUCCUUCUUUUUGAGCUUAUUCCUGCUUUUGUUAUCGGCGAUCGAAAGCGGAAUCGGCCAAGAUAGAGAAUUCUCACUAUGGGUGUACUACGGGACUUCCAAUGCAUUCAAUCAUUGGAUUGAAAGAGAGUCAUAAAACGGAAUAGAUUGAAUUCAAUAUUGAGCCAGCCUAUAGAAGAAUAUGCUUAUAGAGCCUAUAGAGGAAUAUGCUUAUAGAGCCUAUAGAGGAAUAUGCUUAUAGAUAAUUCACCAAUAAAAACAGCUGCUGCAGCCUAUAGUCGAUUAUAGCUAGUUCACCAAUCCAAACUGCAGAGCCCAGCCCAUAGGAAUAUGCUUAUAGAUAGUUAACCAAUAAAAACAGCAAGCAGAGCCUAUUCUCCAGAAAGACAGGCAGAGAGCCGAUUCUCCUUUGAAUUGAUAAUACGGAUUGGCGCGCCGUUGCUUGGCCCUUGAAGAUUCUGAAAAACAAGUAGAACCUUUAUAAGCACCGUAAACUGACAUUGGACGAAGAACCCCCUCUAUGCGGGCCAACACCCUACUAUAUUGAUUGAGGAAAACGGACGGUACAGAGGCACGGGAGCAGUAUGGGCUUGCUACACCAAUACAUCGAAAACUAGUAAGCUUAAUAGCUCGCUGCUCGAGCGCUCUUGCACCGAAGAUGGCUAAGCGAUCUGCCCGUGGGACGAUAUUGAAACACUUGUUCUUGCGCCCCGCCCUUUAAGAUAAGCCGAUCAGAUCAAACCGACGAGGCAUCUUCCAUUCAUUUCGAUGAAGGUCUUUCAGCACC